AAUCUUCCGCAAUGCGCGAAAGCGUGACGGAGCAAUGCCGCGUGCAGGAUGAAGCCCUUCGGGGUGUAAACUGCUGUCAGGGAUUAGAAACACAAUGAUCAAUCCCAAAGGAAGAGACGACUACCUCUGUGCCAGCAGUCGCGGUAAUACAGAGGUCUCGAGCGUUAGUCGGAAUCACUGGGCUUAAAGCGUACGUAGGCGGAUAUGCAGGCGUCGUGUGAAAUCCCCGGGCUCAACCCGGGAACUGCACGGCGAACCGCAUGUCUUGAGAUCGGUAGGGGCGGUCGGAACGAUAGGUGGAGUGGUGAAAUGCGUUGAUAUCUAUCGGAACGCCGAAGGUGAAGACAGGCCGCUGGGCCGACUCUGACGCUGAGGUACGAAAGCGUGGGUAGCGAAC
rnacentral:rRNA from 1 species